rnacentral:rRNA from 1 species
UACGGAGGAUCCAAGCGUUAUCCGGAAUCAUUGGGUUUAAAGGGUCCGUAGGCGGUUUUGUAAGUCAGUGGUGAAAUCCGGCAGCUCAACUGUCGCACUGCCAUUGAUACUGCAGGACUUGAAUUAUUGUGAAGUAACUAGAAUAUGUAGUGUAGCGGUGAAAUGCUUAGAUAUUACAUGGAAUACCCAUUGCGAAGGCAGGUUACUAACAAUACAUUGACGCUGAUGGACGAAAGCGUGGGGAGCGAAUGGG